rnacentral:lncRNA from 1 species
CCCAGAAAAUAAUUAAAAUGGCCUUAUUACAACCCAAAACCAAACAAUAAUAUUAAUAAGAAAAAACUUAUAAAGAAAUAAAUCGGCUACUUAUUGCAAUUAAAAGAAACAGAAACAAUAAUGUGGCCAUCUCCGAGUCCCUCGCAGCUCCAAACCAUCUAAGCUUAGGGAUUACCUGCACAGUUAGAAACGGGGUGAGUUUACGAAAACUCAGUGUGUAAUCCCAAUAACAAAUAAACAGUGAAAACACAGUAUCGUACAAUCUGGGCCAAAGCCUUAUUUAGUCUUGACAUAUACUGGGCCGAAGCCUUUCGUUUAACGGUUACUGGGCCGAAGCCUUUUCAUAAAUCAUAUCACUGGGCUGAAGCCUUUUCAUAAAUCAUAUCAUUGGGCCGAAGCCUUUACUGUAAACGGUAUGGCCCUUAGGCCCAUUUCAAUAUCACAUGUAAUGUCAAUGGAUGUAUGCAAGCCCAUUUGGGGAGACUACUCAACCCACCAUCCGCUACUCUCCACCCGUACCAACCAACACACCAUGUGGGGAAUAACUCAACCCACCCAACCAACACACCACUGGCAACAUAGCUACUUUAUCAUAUAUCUGGAGGCCUAGCCUCUUUAAUAACUGGGGCAAAGCCCUUUUCGGUAAACUAGGGCAAAGCCCUUUUCAAUAAACUGGGGCAUAAGCCCUUUUCGGUAAACUGGGGCAUAAGCCCUUUUCAAUAAACUGGGGCAUAAGCCCUUUUGCACUUCCUCCAUCCAUAUAAAAACCCAACCCAAUGCAACAUGUCAUGUAUGCAGAAUGUCAUGCCCAUAUUUGAAUUAAACAAUCACAGUCAAGUCAUUCAUAUCACCAACAUAUAUUCACAAUCAAAUCCGUCAACCACACAGUCUAAGUCAGUCACUUGCCCACAAGGGCAAAACAGUCAUUUUUCAUAUUAUAAGGGUAUUUUCAUAAUUUUACCAAAUAUCAGGGUUUUCCAUGUUCGUUACAAUUAUCAAUAUUUCCAAGUGUUUAAACAAUGAUCUUUACCCAAAACCCCUAAUGGGCCCUACGAAUGCUGAUUUAGCCUACUUCACCCAAAUUUUACAACAAUACUAACCGUGUUAACGUGCAACUUUUCCAAAUUCCAUUUUCUAUCAAUUCUACCCAAAUGGGUCCGAAAGCCCAUUGGGCCCAAUUUUAGCCCAUUGAGGCCCAACUUACCAUCGUGCACAAAAUUGAGUUCUUACCUGUUCCAUCGAUCCAAACACUGAUCUUAUCGUAUUUAUCGCAUCUAUACCCAAACGCAACAUUACAAGUUCCCGAAAUACCGGUAUUUUAGCAUUUCAGCUUCUCAGCAAAUAUUAAUCUAAGCUAUUACGAGGGUUAGUACACACCUGUUACGAGUUGAAGUUGGAACAUUUCCAAAAUCAAUCGCCUACGAUAACCACCACCUGUCACUCAACUUAACUAAUCCAAUAUCAAUAUAUGUAAAUCCUAAGCACAUCAGUCAUACGGAACAUAAGGGCAUAUUCGUCAUUUUACCAUACAGGGGUAUUACGGUCACUUUACCCUAUAGGGGCUUUACGGUCACUUUACCCUACAGGAGCUUUACGGUCUUUUUACCUAAUAGGGGUAUUUUAGUCAUUUCAUCCUACAAGGGUGUUUUGGUAAAUCUACAAACCAAGGGUAUUUCAGUAAUUUUGUAAACCAAUGGUAUUUCCAUAAUUUUUAAAAAGUCAAGGGUAUUUCUGUAACUUUGUAAAUCAGGGGUAUUUUGGUAAUUUUACAAAUUGAGGGUAUUUCGGUAACUUCACAAACCAGUGGUAUAUUAGUAAUUUUACAAACUAAGGAUAUUUUGGUAAUUUUACAAAUUGAGGGUAUUUCGGUAAUUUUACAAACCAGAGGUAUUUUAGUAAUUUUACAGAUUAGGGUAUUAUGGUAAUUUUACUGAUCGAGGGUAUUUUGGUAAUUUUGUAAACUAAUGGUAUUUUAGUAAUUUUGUAAAUCGAGGGUAAAACAGUAAUUCUGUAAAUCAAGGUUAAAAUAGUAAUUCUAUAAAUUGAGGGUAAAACGGUAAUUCUGUAAAUUGAGGGUAAAACGGUAAUUCUAUAAAUCGAGGGUACUUUGGUAAUUUUACAAUUUGAGGGCAUUUCAGUAAUUUAGUAAACUAAAGAAUUCUAAACAGGGAUAACAAUACGAAUGGGCCUAAAGCCUAUUCUCGGCCCAAAUGGGCCCACACGCUCGUGUGGCCCUUUUAGCCCAAAUCUAGCCACAGAUAUGAGAUUCACCUAGCCUAGUCUAAUAUUUACUACACAAUCAAACAACUUAUCCAAUUGGGCCCGUAGGCCCAUUGGGCCCACAUGACCCCUUUCGGCCUAUCGCGGCCCGAAGUAGCCAUCCUACAGCUAGAGUAGCGAGAAAUACACACCUGAUUGGCGACUGAAGUUAAUCCAAGCUCUGAGCACUCUUAGCCGACGCCCAACCCAAACGAGCACGCCAUACAGCGAAAG